GUAUUUUUUGCAUUGAAAAUUUGCUCAAUUUGAAGUGUGGUUUUUUUGCGAAUGAAUGGAACAAAAACUAACCGAAAAAAUACCUGAGUAGCUAGCUAUACGACUAUUUGUAUAUAUACUUUGUAGCCCCUUAACCCACUAACAGACUUUACUCCAAAGCAAAAAAGGAUUUCUUACCAUUUUCCAACUCUACAAAUGCACAUAGCUACCUAAAUAUAUAUCUACCAUAUAUACAUAUGAAUAAGUAUAUAAUAGACACAAUUUCUACAAACAAGAAAACAUAUUUAUUUUUAUACAAGAGCGAGGAAGAGAGACAAAGUAAGUCAGAGUGAGAGAGAGAGGUGAGAUGGCGAGUGCGAGAGAAGGAUUUGAAUCGCAACAACAGAUUUUGAGUUUCUUUCGUUUGGGUAUUGUCUUUUCUUUAAACCAACUUGAAAUGUUUUCAAACGUUUUUCAAAAUGUCUGAUAGCGGGACCAUUCUUUUAAGAUUUACCACUGUUCUUUACAAACAAAAGGAAGUAGCAGGCAGAAAUGGGUUCCAAAACUGAGAAGAAAAACCUUGAAACCGCGCAGAGGGCUAAGUGUCAAAGAGCAGUGGUAAAUGUGCUUAGCAGUAAGGUACCAAAUUAUCAGCUGAAAUUGGGAUCAUAGCUUUAUUAAGGUAGUCAAUAAAUGUACGAACACGUGGCAGGCCCAUACAUAUGCUGCAGGAUGUGUAUAAAGAAGGAGUUCCAGGUGCAUGCCGUGGCUGUCUACACACAACACAAACAGAGCAACAUAAUCUACUCUAACUAACCUUUAACAAAAACAAGUAAUAAUAUCUAUAAUAAAUACAUAAAUAAAGUAAAAAUAAUUGUAUAUCAAACUUGAACGCUCAAAGCGAUACGUAUACACAAAUAUUUAUAGAAAACUCUCUCAUAAAACUGUACAAAAUAAAUAAAUAUAAAUUAGAGUUAGUUGUAGCCGAAAAUGUUGUGCAACCUUCAAGCGAGGAACAUGUUGUGCAAACUUCAAAGCAAGGAACAUGUUGUGCAAACUUCAAAGCGGAAAAAAUGUUGUUAUUAAUCUCAAUGUUGAACUAAAAACCAACUAACAGUUACAAACGUUAACCAACUAUUCGAACAUACAUACAUACAUAUGGUACAUACAUAUAUGAGAUUUAUGAUUCAAUGUUAUUAGCAAAAUGUAGCCUUAGUGGUAUGUACGUACGUACGUUAUACAUAUGUAUAUGUAAUUCCAGCCAACACACUUCUCUGACAAAUGAAUCCUAGCCAUUAUUUUGACCCUUAGCUGGUGCAAGAAUAUAAAAUACAUAAAAGCAUACAUAUACAUACAUAUAUGAAACUAUAAAAGUUGAAAGCAAUCAUUACAUUUAAAUAUAAUAUAUAAAUACGAACAAUAUACGGGCAGGCAACGGCUUGUACUUAGUUUUGCGUUUUCAAUAUUUUUGUUCUGUUAAGAGCAGCAUUUGCUGUUAAGCGCAACAUCUGUUAUGAGUAACAGGGAAUUUGUUAUGACCUGUACGAACUGUUAGCAAGAAGGAAGAAAUUGUUCUUGCCCCGACCAAAUAUUUUAAAGGAUUUUUAUGUUUGAAUUUGUGUUUUAUACAUACUAAAAUAUGUGUUAAUAAAUAUAUUGUUCUUUCAUUUUGUUCAAUUAAUUGGGAAAGUUUUUUUUUGUUGCAAACCGAUGCCUGCCUAAUAGACAUAAAUACAAAUAUGUAACAAGAAUAAAUUGUGUGUAAAUAACAAAAAAAAAAAGGGGCACAGGAUGCAAUAUUUGAUUUAGAAUAAUUAGCCAAGCACAGUAACUAAAAUCAAAAACCGAAGAGCCACAAGAACCAACUAGUCCCAUCCUUAGCUAUCCUAUCCUAACAGCCCACAAAAUACUAUACAUAAACUGUAAAUAACUUUGUUUCAUCUUUUUCAUUUAAUAAGCUAACUAAUGUUUACUCUGAAUAGUUUUCGCAAAAUCAAAAGAAACAAAAAGCCAGAAGAUAAAGCCUGCUAAUUAAAUCUUUUUAAUUUUCCUACUAUGUUAAACUCAAACAUUAAAUAAUGCAUAUAUUCAAAUGUAUUGUUAUUGUGGGGCCUGGUGACCCAUUUGAGAUGAAAUGAAUAUGGCUGAGGUGUAUGCUUAUUACGAAAUACUUUCAAGUAAAUUAUAAUAACACCAUAUGACUUUUAAUAUACUAAUAAAAAUUCUUAAUAAACCUAA
rnacentral:lncRNA from 1 species